GAUGUUCCAGUUUGUGUAACUGGUGUUACGACAGCCUUUGAACACUUGGUUUCUUCUGAGGGGGUACAUCUACAGAACUGUGGUCUUCAGACGGCAUAUUAUCCUACCAUGCAUCUCUGGUCACCAAGACCACACCCAGAUCAGUAAGGCAACAAUCAUGCAAUGUGAAUGCAACGUUUGGAGAGUAGCAAGGAAAUGGACAAAAGGUGUAAGAGCAUCUCAAGUCUGUAGCUCUGUUAAGGGGAGGGGAGAUUAAUGGUUUAUUUUAGCACGUUGUUUCUCUAAGAAAUACACUUUAUACCUGUAAAUAUCUAGAUAAUUUACAAAAGUGGUCUGAGAUAAGGGAUGUCAGAGAUAUUCGGGUUAACUGUGGUUACCCAACAUGAUGGUUAUACGUUUAUUGUACAGUUCUAAGCCUUGUUUAUUGUUAGUCAAUUUGUUAGAUGGGGGGAACUGUGUAGUUAAAAUUACUAGUUCUGUACAUAAACCAACAGCAACAAACUACUAGAUCGACUCAAGGUAAGUCUGUUGGCUGUAUUGUGAGAUGAGACGAUGGACCCCAAGUUCUUCAUCCUCGUUCAGCUCAAGGUGAGGUGCUGGUUACGUUACUUAUUGCUGGUUAGGUUUUAGUGUUGGUAUUCCAGUUGGAAUAUCAUUCAUCACUAAUGAGUGUACACUAUUGGGUCAUCUGGCAGUACGAGUAGGAUUGGCAUUUGCGUAACCUCAUCACUAACGAGGGUACCCUAUUGGGUCACUUUCAGUACGAUCAGGAUUGGCAUUUGCGUAACCUCAUCACUAAUGUGUUUACACUAUUGAGUACUGGCAGUACCCGAUUUCCACCGGUAACCAUCUGGCAAAUUUGUCUUGUGCUUUAGGUAAGACAUAAUUCUAAAACAUAACAUUAGUUUCUGAAUUGUUGUGCGUUUAUCUCCAAAUUUUACCUACGUCUUGGCUAACUGCGCUGUACUUAAGUCAACUGACUCUCACUGCAUACCGAACUACAUUCUUGCCCGCACAUUUUUGAGUCGCGAAUAAGAUCGGAGACAAUUUGGCAUUUUCAUACUACGGAGUACGAUCGUCCCAGCAGCUGAAUGUGGCAAAGUAUAAUUUUACUAUUAAAUUAACUAUUGAUACUGCUAGUGAGGUAAAUAUCUGGGCUGUAAGUUUCAGUUAAACUCUACCAAAAUGCAUGGAAUUACUUUUUUAUUAUUUUUUUGUGGUGAAUAGUUAGGUAACCUUAUGAAAUUAAUCAGCAGCUAAAAUCACGGAACCAUGUCCCACAUGCUUAUACAGUAAUAUGGACUAGAUAACUGUACCGAGCUGAACUUGUAACUGUAUUUUGUGUCCCCAGGUGUCUGCCUCCACACCUCCCUGCUGUCACCACUGGUCUAAGAAGUCCAUAAUGGUUAGUGUGGGAGGCGCAGCUCCAGUACUUGCUUUCUUGAACCUGUGUGAUGCACAAGAUGUUGAUCCAACCGCACAGUGAGCUCUGCAGGGUGGUCAGGACGGCUGUAGACGUGGAGGGCGGGCGGGGAGCCAGGCUCACCAGUGACGUCCUGGGCGAGGCGUGGGGCGCCAGGAGGGACCGAGGCUGACCACCCAGCUGCUCUGAAACGCCCAAGGCCAGGCAAUAUUUUAGUUUUUUGUUUUUUCUUAAUAGUAGUAGUUCUGAUUUUCAUUGUGACAUUUUGCCAAAGCUGUGAUUUGAGAUAAUAUCUUGGGUCAUCCGAGUAGUUGGCUGUUUUUGCCCCUAUUGCUGCUCAUGCUACUAUAGUUUAUACAUUACUCAAUAAGUUUAAAUGUAAACAUAAGAGUUUGAUAUUUGUUACCGCUUUACAAGUGCAAGGGUGUUUGUUACCAGAUGUUAGACGAGCUACCACAGUUGUUACUAGACAUGGAGGUGAAACCACCUGUUUGUCACCAGACAUGGAGGUGAAACCACCUCUUUGUUACCAGACAUUGAGGUGGAACCACCUGUUUGUUACCAGACUUGGAGGUGAAACCACCUGUUUGUCACCAGACAUGGAGGUGAAACCACCUGUUUGUUACCAGACAUGGAGGUGAAACCACCUGUUUGUUACCAGACAUGGAGGUGAAACCACCUGUUUGUUGUCCAGAAUAGGACCCGUGGUGGAGGGCAGCUAGUGGGGAGCAGUGCUGGAGGACCUGCUGGGAAGGACAUCCCUCGUUGGGGUAAAGACACCCGUCUCUGAGAUGUGAAGGCUGCAGAGGACCCACCAGGAUCCCCUUGGAGGACAACCAUUGGACUACGUGAGGUCUUUGGAAGCACUACAGUUCUGAAUGCCUUCCAAAGAAUGAAGCCCACCCCCCAUGGCUCAGCUAGUGGCGUUCACCGGACCAGGAACCCCGAGACCUGAAGGAGGAGCCGUGCAUCUGGAGGAACACCAUGAGGCUACCCGCCAAGUA